rnacentral:rRNA from 1 species
CCCGCGGCCUAUCAGCUUGUUGGUGGGGUAAUGGCCUACCAAGGCGACGACGGGUAGCCGACCUGAGAGGGUGACCGGCCACACUGGGACUGAGACACGGCCCAGACUCUACGGGAGGCAGCAGUGGGGAAUAUUGCACAAUGGGCGGAAGCCUGAUGCAGCGACGCCGCGUGAGGGAUGAAGGCUUCGGGUUGUAAACCUCUUUCAGCAGGGACGAAGCGUGAGUGACGGUACCUGCAGAAGAAGCACCGGCUAACUACGUGCCAGCAGCCGCGGUAAU